CUCCACCCAGUUGGAGCUUCCAGGCUGCUUUGUUUACCUAAGCAAGCCUGGCAAUGGCGGGCGCCCCUCCCCCAGCCUCGCUGCCACCUUGCAGUUUGAUCUCAGAUUGCUGUGCUAACAAUCAGCCAGACUCCUUGGGCGUAGGACCCUCCGAGCCAGGUGUGGGAUAUAAUCUCGUGGUGCGCCAUUUUUUAAGCUGGUCAGAAAAGCGCAGUAUUCAGGUGGGAGUGGCCCGAUUUUCCAGGUGCGUCGGUCACCCGUUUCUUUGACUCGGAAAGGGAACUCCCUGACCCCUUGCGCUUCCCAAGUGAGGCAAUGCCUCUCCCUGCUUCGGCUCGCGCAUGGUGCGCGCACCCACUGACCUGCGCCCACUGUCUGGCACUCCCAAGUGAGAUGAACCCGGUACCUCAGAUGGAAAUGCAGAAAUCACCCGUCUUCUGCAUCGCUCACGCUGGGAGCUGUAGACAGGAGCUGUUCCUAUUCGGCCAUCUUGGCUCCUCUCGAUAAUUGCUUUCAUGUGAACCCUUCAUAAGGUAAAAUCAAAUCCCUAUUAGGAUAAAUGAUUGAGUGUUCCUGUAAAGAAUUGUUCCCCUGGUUCAAGCAACCAGAUUUCAUUCCCAGAUGAUCAAAAAUGGACUUGAUGAAAUGGAAAAGCACUGAUAGAAACAGAAUGCUGUCAUUAUUCCCAGUUCACAGAUGGGGAGGUAAAAACCCAGAGCUUAAUAGCAUGUCCAAGAUCACAUAACUAUUCCACUGCUCAAAAUUACUCCUGAAGGGAUGAGGACACCAGGAUAUGCCACCGGACCACUGAAGGAAUGGUGAUGGUAUGAAGAAAGUAUUUUUAAUGAGCAGAGCCAUUGUUUGCUCUGCUCUGUCCUCACCCCUCAAGAGAAUUUCCCUUAUUAUUAUGAAAACUUUUUAUCUUAAAAGAUAUUACAUGUUAAUGGAACUGUCGUUUAACAAAUGUUUUAUAAGUGUACCAAUCAAGCACAUUGUCGAAAUAAAAGAUAUGAAAUAAGUGAAAAAAA
rnacentral:lncRNA from 1 species